rnacentral:rRNA from 1 species
AACAGGAUUAGAUACCCUGGUAGUCCACGCCGUAAACGAUGUCGACUUGGAGGUUGUGCCCUUGAGGCGUGGCUUCCGGAGCUAACGCGUUAAGUCGACCGCCUGGGGAGUACGGCCGCAAGGUUAAAACUCAAAUGAAUUGACGGGGGCCCGCACAAGCGGUGGAGCAUGUGGUUUAAUUCGAUGCAACGCGAAGAACCUUACCUACUCUUGACAUCCAGAGAACUUAGCAGAGAUGCUUUGGUGCCUUCGGGAACUCUGAGACAGGUGCUGCAUGGCUGUCGUCAGCUCGUGUUGUGAAAUGUUGGGUUAAGUCCCGCAACGAGCGCAACCCUUAUCCUUUGUUGCCAGCGGUUCGGCCGGGAACUCAAAGGAGACUGCCAGUGAUAAACUGGAGGAAGGUGGGGAUGACGUCAAGUCAUCAUGGCCCUUACGAGUAGGGCUACACACGUGCUACAAUGGCAUAUACAAAGAGAAGCGACCUCGCGAGAGCAAGCGGACCUCAUAAAGUAUGUCGUAGUCCGGAUUGGAGUCUGCAACUCGACUCCAUGAAGUCGGAAUCGCUAGUAAUCGUGGAUCAGAAUGCCACGGUGAAUACGUUCCCGGGCCUUGUACACACCGCCCGUCACACCAUGGGAGCGGGUUGCAAAAGAAGUAGGUAGCUUAACCUUCGGGAGGGCGCUUACCACUUUGUGAUUCAUGACUGGGGUGAAGUCGUAACAAGGUAACC